CGCUGGCGGCGUGCCUAACACAUGCAAGUCGAACGGAGUAAGAUUUCGGAUUUACUUAGUGGCGAACGGGUGAGUAACGCGUGAACAACCUGCCUUUCUGAGGGGGAUAACACCUGGAAACAAGUGCUAAUACCGCAUAAGACCACAGAGCCGCAUGACUCAGGGGUCAAAGGAGUGAUCCGCAGGAAGAGGGGUUCGCGUCCCAUUAGCUAGUUGGCGGGGCAACGGCCCACCAAGGCGACGAUGGGUAGCCGAGCUGAGAGGCUGAUCGGCCACACUGGAACUGAGACACGGUCCAGACUCCUACGGGAGGCAGCAGUGGGGAAUAUUGGGCAAUGGGCGCAAGCCUGACCCAAGCAACGCCGCGUGAGGGAAGAAGGUCUUCGGAUUGUAAACCUCUGUCCUAUGUGACGAAGGAAGUGACGGUAGCAUAGGAGGAAGCCCCGGCUAACUACGUGCCAGCAGCCGC
rnacentral:rRNA from 1 species